rnacentral:rRNA from 1 species
AGCUCCAAUAGCGUAUAUUAAAUUUGUUGCAGUUAAAAAGCUCGUAGUUGGAUCUCAGGUUUGGUAUGACGGUUUGUUCUUUGUAACAAUACUGUAAAUAUCAGCCUUUUAUAGUUGUAUGCCGCUCUAUGGUGGUCUUUAUUGAUUGCUAUAUGAGUGCACGACACGUUUACCUUGAAAAAAUCAGAGUGAUCAAUGCAGGCAUAAAGCUUGAAUGUUCAUGCAAGGAAUAAUGGAAUAGGACCUUGGUUCUAUUUUGUUGGUUUUCAGAUCUAAGGUAAUGAAUAAUAGAGACAGUCGGGGGUAUUUGUAUGGUGGCGUUAGAGGUGAAAUUCUGAGAUCGUUGCCAGACAAACUACUGCGAAAGCAUUUACCCAGUAUGUCCUCA